GGCGGCGCCGAGGCCUCCGGGCGGGCGGGCCUCCUGCACUCCCCGGGCGCCGGGAGCCCGCGCGCCUUGCCCCCAGGCCCGCGAGGCCCGAGCCGAGCUUCGCCCCUGGGGCCGCGGAAGGGCCCGAGGGCUGCGACAGGCUCCGGCUCCACAGAGGAGACAGGAGGAGCCAGGAACCUCCAAGGCAAAGCAGAUACUGCAAGGAGAUGUGGACCAGGCCUAAGAAGGAAGAAGCACUGAAUGGCUGACAUUUGACAACAUGCACCACCAGUGGCUUCUGUUGGCCACAUGCUUUUGGGUGAUUUUCAUGUUCAUGGUGGCCAGCAAAUUCAUCACACUGACCUUUAAGGACCCUGAUGCCUACAGCGCCAAGCAGGAGUUUCUGUUCCUGACCGCCGCGCCCGACACGGGGAGGUCGCUGAGAGAGACGCACUUCCCUGAGGAGCUGAAGCUGACCGGGAAUAGGCUGCCGGGAGGGCGGCUCGUUCAACCCUUGGUCUACAUGCAACGCCUGGAGCUCGUCAGAAACGUGUGCAGGGAGGACACCCUGAGGAACCUGUCACACACCGCCGUCUCCAAGUUUGUCCUCGACCGGAUAUUCGUGUGUGACAAGCACGAGAUCCUCUUCUGCCAGACGCCCAAAGUGGGCAACACCCAGUGGAAGAAGGUGCUGAUCGUGCUGAACGGAGCCUUUCCUUCCAUCGAAGAGAUCCCUGAAAGCGUGGUGCACGACCACGAGAAGAACGGCCUCCCGCGUCUCUCUUCCUUCAGCGAUGCAGAAAUUCAGAAGCGCUUGAAGACAUACUUCAAGUUUUUUAUCGUAAGAGAUCCCUUCGAGAGACUGAUUUCUGCGUUUAAGGAUAAGUUUGUUCACAACCCCCGCUUUGAGCCUUGGUACAGGCACGAGAUUGCCCCUGGCAUCAUCAGGAAGUACAGGAGGAACCGAACGGAGACCAGGGGCAUCCAGUUUGAGGACUUUGUGCGCUACCUGGGUGAUCCGAACCAUAGGUGGCUGGACCUUCAGUUUGGGGACCACAUCAUCCACUGGGUGACAUACGUGGAACUGUGCGCACCCUGCGAGAUCAAGUACAGCGUCAUCGGUCACCAUGAGACCCUGGAGGACGAUGCCCCACACAUCUUGAAAGAGGCUGGUAUAGACCACCUGGUGUCUUACCCCACCAUCCCCCCGGGCAUCACCGCGUAUAACAGAACCAAAGUCGAGCACUACUUUCUGGGUAUCAGCAAACGAGACAUCCGGCGCCUCUAUGCACGUUUUGAAGGGGACUUUAAACUCUUUGGGUAUCAGAAGCCAGAUUUUUUGCUAAACUGACGUGUAGGACUGUGAGUUCAAGUAUCUUUGUUAGACCAGAGGCUAACCAGGUGGAGAUCUGGGCACAGAAAUGACACUUUGCUCUGUCACACUCCCCCUGAACACUCCUCAGUUACCAUGGACCUGGGUGUGCCUUGGCCAGUGAAGCUGGACCCUGACCAUUAUGACCUAGUUUGGACAGAAGGUGCACGGCGGGCCCUGCCUCCCUCCUCCACCCCAGCCCCAGUGCCAUGGGGCCUUUGCUCUCCUCAGCGGGGAAAGAGACUAAACAUUUGCAGUCGAACAGACGGGAGGAAAAAUCAUACAGCCUCGAGUCACCUCCCUCGGUUGUCAGACACCUGCAGCUCCCGCAGACGGUGGGGCGGUCAUGCCUGUCCCCAGGGGAUUGUAGACAUGGCGCCCAGCGCUUUCAGGAGAGAUGGAAGAGCCACUGGUCUGCACACACCCCAGGGGCCGAGAUAGGGUCAAAUCUGAGUAAUUCCACCUCUGGGUUUCAUCUUGGCGCCACUAUAGUCAGAGGCAGAGCCUUCUUUCCACGACUGUUCUGUCCCUGAGAAGUUCAGGGAUGACUCGAGGGCGCUCUCCGGGAGUCCGUCUAUUCAGAAUACAUGCCUGUGUGCCGCUGGGCCACAUUUCCAGACCUCUGCCUGCCAAGUGGUGAUCUCAUUCAGCCCAAGAGAUCCGGUUUUGCAAAGUGAGGGGAGUGUACACAUUUCCCACCUGAGAAAGGGAACAUCUCUGGGGACCUUAAAGGGAGCCUGGGAAGAGGCAGAGCUGGCCGGGUGCUGGAGCUCAGGCUGCCCUGGGCUUGGGCACGUCCACCCUGGUGACUGUCUGCCUCUUGUCUCUGAUGGUCCCGUGUGGAUGGGCACGGGGAGGGGGGUCUCCACCUGCCUCCCCCAAGGCCAGGCCCUCCUGGGGGCCAGCGGCAAACACGGGCAACAUGCCAGUAUUGCCCAGUCAGUGCAGCUUACACAUUUCAGUCUCCUUUCGUCUCAGCAAAAUGCGCACCACUGGACCCAUUUCUGAUGAUGCCGUCAUCCUGGACUGUAAGUUGGAUAAUCAAGUUCACCAGCAAUAAACUCCUGGGCCGAGGCAGCUGCAGUAACGCACCUUCCAGGCACUGAGGAGCAGGCCACGGCUACCAUUUCAGGUGCCGUCCGACAGCGAGGCCCCUCGAGUUUAUUAGCAGUCAUCUUGAAGCUGUCUAAAACAAGACUUGGACAGCAACAUCACAUCCAUCACCUGUAUUGUCCUCAAAACUGAGUUGACCUGAGAAUCAUGAGAUGGGUGAAUACGGAGCUUCCCAGCUGAGGUCAACUUACCUGUAGCAGAAACCGCCAGAGCCGUGGACCGGUAGGAUCACUUACGUGGUAAUCCUGACAAAUUGCUGGAGGUUGAGUGUGAGCUACCAGGCAUUCUUAUGAUGAAGAGUCAAGAAAGAAGAGUCUCCUCCUGGCUCUGCAGAUAGAGGAGAAAGGAACGCUCGCUGACCCCCUUGGCUACCCACCUGUUGCACGCCUGGCACCGCUGCAGCAGCAUUGGACCUCCCUUCUCCCCAGCUGCCAGCAUUCACUGGGAGUCAGUCAUGAACUAAGCUGCUUCCACGCCACCCCAUCCUAAAGACUCAUGAGCGCCUUUUCUCCUUCCCACCCUCCCCGUCCCAUAACUGGAGGACAGGGAUGCUAAAGAAGGAACGUCUGCACUCACAAGAAAGCUGCCAGUUUCUCCAUGCAUGUUCUUCUCGGCUAUUUGUCACCUUUUUCCUUAGGAAAAGAACAAUAACAAUUUGCCCUUUCUUUCAUCUCUUAAAAUAACUUGAGUGUAAGAUAUACUUUAGAGCCUUCUGUACAUGAUAGCAAAACUGAUCUGUGAACAUUUGACAGUUCAAUUAGGAUCAGGCAACAGCGCUUUGGAAAUAAGAAUAUGAGAAUCUCAUCUUGAGCCAGGCAGAUCGGCCGCUCCACCUUAGGGUCCGGAGGCCCAGAUGAGCUCCUGUAGGUCCAGAGGUUUAAGGAGGAGAGAUAGAUACACCUCUGAGCUGAACAGGAGGAGCUGGGCACAAACAGGAAGAAGAAAGGAAGUAGGGCCCCCUGUUCCCACCCUUGUUCCUGGUGAUGAGCUCCAGCUGCCUCACAUUGAAGUGGUGCUUUGUGGCUGGUGAGGAUACCGCUUAAAAACCAUUGCUCGAGGCCUUCACAGAAAACCCUGAAAAUCCAGGUGCUGAGGAAGAGUAUUCCUUUUACCUUCCUCCUACACCCUUGAUACAAGAAAUAGGUUUGAACCCUUUGGUUGUCUUAGGUAGAUACCUCAGCAUAGAAUUUCUGGGCCACAGAUAUUUUUUAAUGAAAAGGAAAAAAACCAAUGUUACGACUUUAGGGAAGUUUCUAAAAGGCAAAAAAACUAGAACCAACCUCCAUGUUACAUAGAGAAUAUAAGUAAAGAGUUGGCCAUAAACAGAUUACACUGCAAAAUUAUUUGGAAACUAGAAGGAUGGUAAUAAAAAUAGCAGCUGUAUAUUCUCUGGUCUUCAGUUGGUUAGAUAUUAGGUAAUUAUGACCAAAAGCUGUAGUCUUCUGAGCCAGGGCCCACCCCAUAAAAAGGUGUGGUUACCCUGCCCAGGCCAGGAGGGCUGGGAAACCCCAGGACAUCAGGGUUUUUUUCUGGAAAGAAAGAACUAACAACCUGUUCCCUUCUCCCCCAGCAUAUCUGCGUGAAACCUCAUGAUUCAUUUUACUUUACUUUCUGAUGUUUCACAAUUUUGGCAUUCCCGUUGAUGGUAUCUCUCACUGAUCUUAAAAAUAGCCAAUUAUGAAAACACAUAAAAUUUUGGGUAAAUCGAAAGUGCUUUCUGAGGAGGGAAGUGUGGACGACCUCUGACCUGAACUUCCAAGCAUAAGAAGAUGGACAGGAUGGCAGAAGUGAGAAUACCCAGUUUACAGUUGGAAACAUCAAAGGUGCACAAGUUAAGGGGGUCCUUGGGCCACUGCUGACUCAUAAGCCGUCCGGUUGUAGCAGUUUCUCUGCCAGCUUUGUUCACCAAUUUCCUCCAGGGGGCGCUGUCUCCUAGUGCCCGCUAAACCCAGGUUCCCUUUGUGUACACAGGGGAGCUCACUAAGGUGGCCUUAGAAGCUGCAAUGAAGAUGGUUACAAAACAGUACUCUUCUGAAAUUAGGCCCAGGAUGUACAUGGUCAGAUUUUCUCUGCUGAAGAGCAGGUAGAGGAUAGGAAAUCAAACUAAGUCUACGGAGAGAUUGUCAAAAAUCUCUGAGCCAGGGAAAUGGAAAUGUCUAUUUUAUUAAAUCAUAAGCUCUAAAAACAAACAGACAGCUUCCCUUCCAGGAGAUAAUUCUUAGUAAAAGACUGGAACACCUUGCUUAGGUCUUUGUAUGAUGUCACCCAAUUUUACUCUUGCUGAAACUUGCCUCAGUGAUAGUUGGAGCGAAUCCAGUCAACUCUGUAUGCCUUGUUCUGAGGGGAAUGGGGACCCGCUGUGGGCCCAGGGUGGCUGUUGUGUUUGCCAAGGGCUGUCCUCACCAGCAGCUGUCAGCCUGAAAACACUCCUUGGGACGUUGGUGGGAGUUUCAGAAAAAGAAAUCUUCUCUAUUUUCUAUUCACAAAACCCAAGUGAAUAGAGUUUAUUAGCAAGUUUUCUAUUCCACAACUGCUCAAACUUGCAGGUAAGUUAAUUAUUCUACAGAAAGGUUUUCCUGCUUAAUAUUCAGAAAAUAUAGUAAAAUCAAGAUAUGCAGAAAAAGCUUUGGGUGUGACAGUUUUCUGUGUAUGCGCUUGUGUGUCUACCUGUACACACUGUUAACAAACAAAAAUUUAACCGAGUAAAAUUUAAAGGUCUAAUUGGCUUUAUUAAAUGAUUCAUGAACUGGGCAGCAUCCCAUCUGGCAAGUAGAGAGGAGUUCUGAGGAGCUGUACAAAAUGGAAGGCUUUUAUAAGCAAAAGGAGGAAACGAGUAGAUUGCUUCAGGCUUAGGUAAGCUACCUAUAGGGGACAGAAGGGACCUGUGUGGUAGAUUGCCUCAGUGGUGCUGACAAGAAAUUUCCAUACUGACCGGUUAAGACGGGGUCCCCAACCCCUGGGCCACGGAACGGUACCAGUCCAUGGCCUGUUAGGAACCGGGCCACACAGCAGGAGGUGAG